rnacentral:tRNA from 1 species
GGAGGGCACAGCUCAGUAGGAGAGUGCCUGCUUAGCACGCAGGACAUCCUGGGUUCAAUCCCCAGGACUUCCA